CUUCCUGAGUAGCUAGGAUUAUAGGCAUGAGUCACCAGCACAACAGGUUUUAAAAAUGUAAAUUUAUAGUGCUAGUAUGGCUCAGGGGUACAGAGUGUCUAGCAUGCACAGGAUCCUAGGUUUUAUCUCAAUAACAAAAAGAAAAGACAAAGAAAAAUGGUAAAUUCAGUAAAGCUCAUGCAUUCAAUAGUAUGACAUCUGCUAGGGUAGUUGGUGCAUUCCUGUAGUCCUGGCACUUAGGAGGUGGAAGAGGAGGAUCCAGAGUUUGAGGCUAGCCUGAGCCAGUCUCUACCAAGACCCAGUCUC